CUAAAUGCGGGAGAGAUAAGUGCUGAAAGCAUCUAAGCACGAAACUUGCCUUGAGAUGAGUUCUCCCCAACUAUAAGUUGGUAAGGGUUGUUUGAGACUAAGACGUAGAUAGGUGUGGUGUGUAAGCGUAGUGAUACGUUGAGCUAACACAUACUAAUAGCCCGAGAGGCUUAACCAUACAACGCUCAAGGGUUUUGGGGUUCAGGAGUCGGGUAUCAGGGUUCAGGUGUCAGGUACCAGGAAUCAGAUGAUAGGAACUGCUGAGAGCGUGAAAAGAGAAUUAGACAGAUAUCAGACAGCUUGUUUUGGAUUGAGAGANCUAGUCGAGUCGGCCUGCGCGGAAGAUGUAACGGGGCUGAAAUAUAGCACCGAAGCUGCGGCAUUCAGAGGACAGAUUACAGAAGACAGAGGACAGAAUAAAUGGUUAUCGGAAAAAGCAUUACGGAUUAUCGGGAUUUAUUGGUAUGGCAGAAAGCGUAUCAAUUAUCACUGAAAAUUCAUAAACAUACUUUAAAUUAUCCAAAAUAUGAACAGUUUGAAUUAGCAAGCCAAAUGCGUAGAGCAAGUAAAGGAAUCUGUGCAAAUCUUGCAGAAGGCUUUGGGAAACAAAGUGUGAGCAAAGCGGAAUUUAAACGUUUUAUAUUAAUGGCAAUGGGAAGUGCAGACGAAAUGCGAGUAUGGCUAAGUUACAGUAAAGACUUAGGAUAUUUAAAUGAAGUUGCCUACGAAAAGUUAGAAAUAGCUUAUCGAGACAUUGCAAAAAUGCUAAAUGGCUUACAUAAAAGUUGGUCAUAGGUAUUUAUUCUGUCAUCAGUCUUCUGUCAUCUGUCCUCUGAUUGGGUAGGGGAGCGUUGUGUAAGCGGAUGAAGGUGAAUUGAGAAGUUUGCUGGACGUAUCACAAGUGCGAAUGCUGACAUAAGUAACGAUAAAACGGGUGAAAAACCCGUUCGCCGGAAGACCAAGGUUUCCUGUCCAACGUUAAUCGGGGCAGGGUGAGUCGGCCCCUAAGGCGAGGCUGAAAAGCGUAGUCGAUGGGAAACGGGUUAAUAUUCCCGUACUUGGUAAAACUGCGAUGUGGGGACGGAGCAGGUUAGGUUAGCGUGCUGUUGGAUAUGCACGUUUAAGUUGGUAGGUGGGUGAGUUAGGCAAAUCCGGUUCACCUUAACACCGAGAGAUGAUGACGAGGCUCUACGGAGCUGAAGUAACUGAUACCACACUUCCAGGAAAAGCCACUAAGCAUCAGGUUUUACUAAACCGUACUAUAAACCGACACAGGUGGUCAGGUAGAGAAUACUCAGGCGCUUGAGAGAACUCGGGUGAAGGAACUAGGCAAAAUAGCACCGUAACUUCGGGAGAAGGUGCGCUUACGGUAGUUAAAGUCCGAAACGGAUGGAGGUGAAGUAAGUCGAAGAGACCAGCUGGCUGCAACUGUUUAUUAAAAACACAGCACUCUGCAAACACGAAAGUGGAGGUAUAGGGUGUGAUGCCUGCCCGGUGCUGGAAGGUUAAUUGAUGGUGUAAUCGGAAGAGAAGCAUCGGAUCGAAGCCCCAGUAAACGGCGGCCGUAACUAUAACGGUCCUAAGGUAGCGAAAUUCCUUGUCGGGUAAGUUCCGACCUGCACGAAUGGCAUAAUGAUGGCCAGGCUGUCUCCACCCGAGACUCAGUGAAAUUGAAAUCGCCGUGAAGAUGCGGUGUACCCGCGGCUAGACGGAAAGACCCCGUGAACCUUUACUAUAGCUUGACACUGAACCUUGAAUUUUGAUGUGUAGGAUAGGUGGGAGGCGAAGAAGCGGUAACGCCAGUUAUCGUGGAGCCGUUGUUGAAAUACCACCCUUUAAGGUUUGAUGUUCUAACGAAGAUUACGAAACGUGGUCUCGGACAGUGUCUGGUGGGUAGUUUGACUGGGGCGGUCUCCUCCCAAAGAGUAACGGAGGAGCACGAAGGUUUGCUAAUGACGGUCGGACAUCGUCAGGUUAGUGCAAUGGUAAAAGCAAGCUUAACUGCGAGACGGACAAGUCGAGCAGGUGCGAAAGCAGGUCAUAGUGAUCCGGUGGUUCUGAAUGGAAGGGCCAUCGCUCAACGGAUAAAAGGUACUCCGGGGAUAACAGGCUGAUACCGCCCAAGAGUUCAUAUCGACGGCGGUGUUUGGCACCUCGAUGUCGGCUCAUCACAUCCUGGGGCUGAAGUAGGUCCCAAGGGUAUGGCUGUUCGCCAUUUAAAGUGGUACGCGAGCUGGGUUUAGAACGUCGUGAGACAGUUCGGUCCCUAUCUGCCGUGGGCGCUGGAGAAUUGAAAGGGGCUGCUCCUAGUACGAGAGGACCGGAGUGGACGCAUCCCUGGUGUUCCGGUUGUGUCGCCAGACGCAUUGCCGGGUAGCUAAAUGCGGGAGAGAUAAGUGCUGAAAGCAUCUAAGCACGAAACUUGCCUUGAGAUGAGUUCUCCCCAACUAUAAGUUGGUAAGGGUUGU
rnacentral:rRNA from 1 species